rnacentral:rRNA from 1 species
GACGAACGCUGGCGGCGUGCUUAACACAUGCAAGUCGAACGGAAAGGCCCUGCUUUUGUGGGGUGCUCGAGUGGCGAACGGGUGAGUAACACGUGAGUAACCUGCCCUUGACUUUGGGAUAACUUCAGGAAACUGGGGCUAAUACCGGAUAGGAGCCCCUGCUGCAUGGUGGGGGUUGGAAAGUUUCGGCGGUUGGGGAUGGACUCGCGGCUUAUCAGCUUGUUGGUGGGGUAGUGGCUUACCAAGGCUUUGACGGGUAGCCGGCCUGAGAGGGUGACCGGCCACAUUGGGACUGAGAUACGGCCCAGACUACUACGGGAGGCAGCAGUGGGGAAUAUUGCACAAUGGGCGGAAGCCUGAUGCAGCAACGCCGCGUGCGGGAUGACGGCCUUCGGGUUGUAAACCGCUUUCGCCUGUGACGAAGCGUGAGUGACGGUAAUGGGUAAAGAAGCACCGGCUAACUACGUG